UACGAAGGGAGCUAGCGUUGUUCGGAAUCACUGGGCGUAAAGCGCACGUAGGCGGAUGUGUCAGUCAGGGGUGAAAUCCCGGAGCUCAACUCCAGAACUGCCUUUGAUACUGAGGAUCUCGAGUCCGGGAGAGGUGAGUGGAACUCCGAGUGUAGAGGUGAAAUUCGUAGAUAUUCGGAAGAACACCAGUGGCGAAGGCGGCUCACUGGCCCGGUACUGACGCUGAGGUGCGAAAGCGUGGGGAGCAAACAGG
rnacentral:rRNA from 1 species